UAGUACUGUGAAGGAAAGGUGAAAAGCACCCCGGGAGGGGAGUGAAAGAGAACCUGAAACCCUGUGCUUACAAGCACUUAGAGCACGUCAAAGUGUGAUAAGGUACCUAUUGUAGAAUGGUCCGGCGAGUUAUUGUAUGCAGCGAGGUUAAGUAGUUCAGCUACGGAGCCGAAGUGAGAGCGAGUGUUAACAGCACGUUCAGUUGCAUGCAAUAGACCCGAAACCGGGUGACCUAUCCAUGUCCAGGAUGAAGUGAGGGUAAAACCUCAUGGAGGUCCGAACCCACUCCCGUUGAAAUGGUAGGGGAUGAGGUGUGGAUAGCGGAGAAAUUCCAAUCGAACCCGGAUAUAGCUGGUUCUCCCCGAAAUAGUUUUAGGACUAGCCUCGUGAUUAAGAUUAUCGGAGGUAAAGCACUGAAUGGCCUAGGGGUCGAGAGAUUACCGAAGCCUAUCAAACUCUGAAUGCCGAAUAAUCAUGCACGGGAGUCAGACUGUGUGAGAUAAGUUUCAUAGUCGAAAGGGAAACAGCCCAGACCUACAGCUAAGGUCCCAAAGUACGUUUAAGUGGAAAACGAUGUGAAAUUGCGUAGACAACCAGGAUGUUGGCUUAGAAGCAGCCAUACAUUAAAAGAGUGCGUAAUAGCUCACUGGUCGAGUGACUUUGCGCGGAAAAUUUAACGGGGCUAAAACGUACACCGAAGCUUAGGCUUGUCACAAUGUGACAGGGGUAGGGGAGCGUUGAAUGAGGGGUGAAGUCGUAGCGAAAGCGACGGUGGACUUCAUUCAAGUGAGAAUGCCGGAAUGAGUAGCGAGAAUUAUGUGAGAAUCAUAAUGGCCGAAAGCCUAAGGUUUUUGGAGGAAGGUUCGUCCGCUCCAAGUAAGUCGGAAGCUAAGGUGAGGCUGAAAAGCGUAGCCGAUGCACAAACGGUUGAAAUUCCGUUACCACAGAAAGAUUUAAACUAAGGGACACUUUUGAAGAGCUGAUGCCGGGUGUUGGUUACCCCGGUCGUAAGGGAACGAAAUUAAGUAGUGAAGUCAGCGUGGAUGAAGGCGAGAAAAGCUUAGUGUAUAUCUUAUGUGUCCGUACCGCAAACCGACACAGGUAGGUAGGAAGAGAAUUCUAAGGCCAACGGGAGAAGGGUAGUUAAGGAACUCGGCAAAAUGUCCCCGUAACUUCGGAAUAAGGGGAGGUUUCUACGGAAACCCGCAGAGAAUAGUCCCAGGCAACUGUUUAUCAAAAACACAGCUCUAUGCUAAAUCGAAAGAUGACGUAUAUGGGGUGACGCCUGCCCGGUGCCGGAAGGUUAAGAGGAGGAGUGAGAGCCCUGAAUCGAAGCCCCGGUAAACGGCGGCCGUAACUAUAACGGUCCUAAGGUAGCGAAAUUCCUUGUCAGGUAAGUUCUGACCCGCACGAAUGGCGUAAUGAUCUGGGAGCUGUCUCAACUGCCCGCCCGGCGAAAUUGUAGUACCGGUGAAGAUGCCGGUUACCCGCGACUAGACGGAAAGACCCCAUGGAGCUUUACUGUAGCUUAAUAUUGGAUUUCGGCAUUUCAUGUACAGGAUAGGUGGGAGACUAGGAAACAUAGGCGUCAGCUUAUGCGGAGUCGUCCUUGGGAUACCACUCUUGGAGUGCUGAAAUUCUAACCUGCAGCCCUGAAUCGGGUUGGGGGACAUUGUUAGGUGGGCAGUUUGACUGGGGCGGUCGCCUCCAAAAAGGUAACGGAGGCGCUCAAAGGUUGGCUCAGCAUGGAUGGAAACCAUGCCAUAGAGUGCAAACGCAAAAGCCAGCCUGACUGCGAGACUGACGGGUCGAGCAGAAACGAAAGUUGGAGUUAGUGAUCCGGCGGUAUGUGAAUGGAAAUGCCGUCG
rnacentral:rRNA from 1 species